GGAAAUACUUUCUGUCCCUUCCUUGCUCUCCUAAAUCACCCCUAAGCUAGGAAUCCUCACUAUUUUUUUAGGCUAAGUUAAAUGUUCUCUGAGAGUGUUCUCAGAAUGGUUGUGAAUACAGCCCCAGGCCCCUGGGCACCACUAUGCAAAAGGCCCCACCAACUCUCCAAUACAGAGACUGAUUAGCUGGAUUGGCAGAAAAUCUUGUACCAACAUUCAUGGUGCCCAGAGGAUGAACUUUACUGACUUUUAUUAUCCUCUGAGAUUCUGACUACAGCUUGCCCCAAAGCUGAACACCUCCUCUGGAUUGCUGUGGUUCUGCACAAGUUGGCCGUUGGUGAGAGCGAGAUCAUCCCUGGGGUCACCGUUCAUCUUUCCCAGCAGUCCCAGGGUGGAGUUUUU